rnacentral:rRNA from 1 species
UACGAGGGGAGGCGAGCGUUGUUCGGAAUUACUGGGCGUAAAGGGCGCGUAGGCGGCCCGCUAAGUCGAACGUGAAAUCCCCAGGCUCAACCUGGGAACUGCGUCCGAUACUGGCAGGCUUGAAUCCGGGAGAGGGAUGUGGAAUUCCAGGUGUAGCGGUGAAAUGCGUAGAUAUCUGGAGGAACACCGGUGGCGAAGGCGGCAUCCUGGACCGACACUGACGCUGAGGAGCGAAAGCCAGGGGAGCAAACGGG